rnacentral:SRP_RNA from 2 species
GCCGGGCAUGGUGGCGCAUGCCUGUAAUCCCAGCUACUAGGGAGGCUGAGGCAGGAGAAUCGCUUGAACCCGGGAGGUGGAGGUUGUAGUGAGCUGAGAUCGUGCCAUUGCACUCCAGCCUGGGCAACAAGAGCGAAAUUCUGUCUCAA